rnacentral:rRNA from 1 species
UUCGGGUUGUAAAGUACUUUCAGCAGUGAGGAAGGUGGAUAUGUUAAUAGCAUAUUCAUUUGACGUUAGCUGCAGAAGAAGCACCGGCUAACUCCGUGCCAGCAGCCGCGGUAAUACGGAGGGUGCGAGCGUUAAUCGGAAUUACUGGGCGUAAAGCGCAUGCAGGUGGUUUGUUAAGUCAGAUGUGAAAGCCCGGGGCUCAACCUCGGAAUUGCAUUUGAAACUGGCAAACUAGAGUACUGUAGAGGGGGUAGAAUUUCAGGUGUAGCGGUGAAAUGCGUAGAGAUCUGAAGGAAUACCGGUGGCGAAGGCGGCCCCCUGGACAGAUACUGACACUCAGAUGCGAAAGCGUGGGGAGCAAACAGGAUUAGAUACCCUGGUAG